UAGAUCAUAGACUAUGUAGAAAGAGACAAUUUAAAACUCGUUGUCUGCAAAAAGUAGCAGCAACAACACUAAAAGACCAGACAUUCAAUGGAUAUAUUAGAUCUCAAUAGGCACAGGUUCAGGCAGUUGCCAAACAUAACUAAAAUUUAGCAUCUCUAACACAAACUUCAACACAACCUCACCGAGGUAACUAGUAGUAUUACGGCAGGAGGUUAGCUACUCUCUUAGAUCUAACUUCUUUUCUGAAGGACCUCCGGCCUAAACUGCACAAACACCAGACAUUUUACAAAUGCAUUAACAAUCACACAAAACACAGAGCAAGGGAGGAAGGCUCUCACUUCUUUGCACUCUCAAAAGAGUAAAAAUCAGUCCCGAAGCAGUUGAUACGGGACCUCCAAAAUGAGCACAAAACUUAAACACAAACAUCAAAUUCAGGUACUUCAGAAAAUGUAAACUUGAGAGCUUCCCUUCAACUCAACCUUCAUAAGAAUAGCAAGAUCAGAUACCAAAGCAAAAUAUUAAAAAAUAUAUAGAAAAAAUGAAAAACCAGAUACCUUGGAAACAUUGGCUUGUCCUGUCUGCAAAUGAACACUUCAAUAAUGUCUAAGAAAUAGACAAGGGAGGUUUGAAGGAGGAAAGAAGAAGGGAUCCCAAGGAAUGCAGGAUAGUGAAUAAAAAAAAUAACAUGAAACUUUAUAAUUUAAUAAUGAUAAUAAUAAUAAUAAUUAUAUUCGAUGACUAUAAAAUAUUCAGUAAGCAUACAGAAAAUUUAUACCGUAGAAAAACCCAAAACUCUUCGAGAGAAGGGAUAGAAUUUCAUUCCCUUUUUAGGGAAAAAAGCUUCAUGGAAUCCCAUUCCCUUUCUUUCAAAAGAUGAUAAAAUAAAGAAUCUCAUUCCCAAAAUCCCCAUUUCCCUCCCUCCCUCACUCCCUCUGCCUCCCUCUCAAGAUCUUAUAGCAAAGCACAACUAAAUAAUACUGUAACUAGAAAUUAAAAAACAAGAAUAACAAAAGGAAACGCAAGUUCAAAAAAGCAACAGAAAAAGUAACGCAAAUUCAAAAAGCAACGCCUCGAAAGAAUAAAAAAAGACAUCCAUUACUAGAUGCAGCACCCAUUUUCUUCUCUCUAUCAGCUAUCAUCCACCCUGCUUCUCUCUCCUUGUCAAAAUCCAGAUCAAACCGAAGCUCCCAUUUUCUUCACUUUCCCAUCAAAACCCUACGAUUUUUAUUUUUGGUUUAUUACUCCCCAUGAAGUAAUAAAAAAAAAAUAAAAAAAAA
rnacentral:lncRNA from 1 species